AAGGCUUUAGCUUAAUUAAAGUGUCUGUUUUGCAUGCAGAAGAUGAGGGAUAAAGUCCCGCAAGUCUUA
rnacentral:tRNA from 1 species